UUAAAAGUUUUCUAGGGUUCCGCAACUUACAGUUGGUCUGGUCCGAGAGAAAACUCACAGCAUUGCUGUGUCACGGAGGGAUAAAAGCCUGGGAGAU
rnacentral:sRNA from 2 species